AGCUUAUUCGCUCUUAUGAUAAGAAAAAAAGAAAAAGAAUAAUAAUAAUGUAUUAACCAUAUAAAUAUAAAUGUAAAGAGUGAGAGUCCUGUCCACUUCAAUUUCUCCAGUGUCUUAUUGUCCAAUGGAGUACGGUUACUGGUCCGGUGAAACAACCGGAACUGCACAAACGGCGACGUUUAGUAGGUGGGUGCAGCAAACAGAAGAGAGUUACCAGUUACAGUUAGCUUUAGCUUUGAGGUUAUCAUCGCAAGCUGCUUUAGCUAAUGAUUCAAAUUUCUUGGAUUUCAAAUCCAAUGAUCAUGAUCAUUAUCAUCAACUUUCUUCUUCCUCUAAUUCUGCUGAAUCUGUUUCUCAUCGAUUUUGGGUGAAUGGAUGUCUGAGUUACUAUGACAGAAUCCCAGACGGGUUUUAUGUAAUUCAUGGAGUGGAUCCUUAUGCUUGGACUAUAAGUAUAGACCAAAAAGACAUUGGCUUGAUCCCAUCUUUUGAAUCUUUAAAAGCUCUUGAUCCUCGUGAUGAUUUGUCAGUAAAUGUUGUUUUGAUAGACAGAUUUAGGGAUCCUAGUUUAAAGGAGCUAAGUAAUAGAGUUAUUAAACUUUCUAGUAACUGGAUAACUACAAAAGAUGCGAUUGAUCAGCUUGCUGAUCUCGUCUGUAAUCGUAUGGGGGGUGUAACUUCUACUGAACAGAAUACUUUUGAUAUGUGCUGGAAGGAAUGCACUGAAAUCUUGAGAAACCGUUUAGGAUCAGUUGUGCUUCCCAUUGGAAACUUACCAGUUGGCCUCUGUGUCCAUCGUGCCCUACUGUUCAAAGUAUUAGCAGACUCGAUUAACUUACCAUGCAGAAUUGCUAAAGGCUGUAAACACUGUAGAAGAGAUGUUGCUGCAUCUUGUCUUGUACAAGUUGGUAGCGAGAGGGAAUAUUUGGUUGAUUUGUUUGGCAAGCCAGGAACAUUAAGCCAGCCUGAUUCAUCACUCAAUCGUACUUCUUCAAUCUUAGUUUCUUCGCCAUUAUCCCAUCCAAGUUUUAAAUCUCUCCAAACAGCUGAUGAUCUCAGGACAUUGGCCAAACACUUCUUCAUUGAUUCCCAGUUACUUAACUUAGCAUUUGAUGAUACUCCCUCAGGUACUAUUGACCAAGAUGACAAAAAUAGUAAAACAGUCAUUAAAGACAACAAGAACCUUAUACCUAAUUCAAGCAAUAGCCAUGACGCUUCAACGCCACCUCUGCUUAAAAGAGUUGCUGGGAACAUCACCAAUGCCAGUGGUCUUCAUGCUGUAAAUUCAUCUAGUAAAUCAAAUAGCUUGUCCAAAGAUCUAAUUCUGCCAAAUCCGGCUCUUCCAAUUAUGCAUAGGGAUCCAUAUUCAAUUUCUGUUACUUCCAAUCCAAAACCUGAUGCGACAAAUAACCAGUUGUUCUUGGAUGCAAAUCAGUCAUUCGUAAGUAGAUCAAGUAGCGAACUUCACCUUGAAGAGGAAGAUUUGGACAUUCCAUGGAGUGAACUAGUUAUUAAAGAGAAAAUUGGAGAAGGUUCCUUCGGAACUGUCCAUCGUGCUGACUGGCGUGGUUCAGAUGUCGCUGUCAAAAUUCUCAUGGAACAAGAUUACCAUGCAGAGCAUUUCAAUGAAUUUUUGCGUGAGGUUACAAUCAUGAAACGUUUGCGGCAUCCAAACAUUGUUCUCUUUAUGGGUGCUGUUACUCAGCCUCCAAAAUUCUCCAUAGUUACAGAGUAUUUGUCAAGGGGUAGCUUGCAUAAACUCUUGCAUAUGCCUGAUGCUCGAAUUAUACUAGAUGAAAAACGUCGCUUGAAUAUGGCAUAUGAUGUGGCAAAGGGUAUGAACUACCUUCAUCAGCUUAGACCUCCCAUUGUUCAUCGAGAUUUGAAGUCUCUUAAUCUCUUAGUGGACAGUCAGUAUACAGUAAAGGUUUGUGAUUUUGGUUUAUCCCGUUCAAAAGCAAAAACAUAUCUUUCAUCAAAAACUGCAGCUGGGACUCCUGAGUGGAUGGCACCGGAAGUUCUUCGUAAUGAGCCAUCAGAUGAGAAAUCAGAUGUUUAUAGCUUUGGUGUAAUCUUGUGGGAGCUUAUGACCCUUCAACAACCUUGGAGAAGUUUGAAUCAAGCACAGGUUGUAGCAGCUGUUGGUUUUAAGAAUCAAAGGCUUGAAAUUCCAAACAAUAUAAAUCCUUCAGUGGCUGCCUUAAUUGACAGAUGCUUGACUUCUGAGCCCUCAAAACGUCCAUCAUUUUCAUAUAUUAUGGAAACCUUGCAGAAAGUGAUCAAGAACUCCGUGUCUCAACCAGUUAAUUUUCAAAUUACAUGACAAAUUUCUCAGAGUGGAACUCCAGUUGAAUAUCUUAUACAAUUUGCCAUCCGUUGGAUGCCCAUCUGGUUUAUCUUUCAGUUCUUCAGGAAUUAGCCAUUCAAUGGCUCUAUCACUCAGCAGGUGUCAACAUUUCAGCCCAUUAGAGUGGUAGAUGUCUAUGUUAAUGUACAUGCUACCAGGGAGUAUUUGGUUAAUUUGUUUGGAAAGCUUGGAAUGAUAGAUCAGAUUGAUUUGUCACUCAAUUGUACUUCUUCUAUCUCAGUGUCUUUGCCAUUAGGGUGUUGGAAAAAAAAAUUAUGAAUUCAGUAUGGCGUCAAAAACUCUUAGAUUGCCAGUCACAAAAAUUUUACGCCUGAUGAUUUGCUCAGGUGAUUCCUUGUUAAACAGCAUGUAUCGUCUUGUAGUAUGUUCAAAUGUGCCAUUAUAGCACUGAUGUCCGUUUUUCAUUCCCUUGCAUCUUCUACUAUUUUCUGUUUCAUUCCUGGACAGCCUAACCUGUUAAAUGCAGAAUAGUUGCCCUGUGCUUGCAGAUCAUACACCUAGUUACUUGGUUGUAUGGCUAUAUUGGUUGAAUCAUUUGUCUAUGCUCAACUGCUUCGGUGCUCUGCAUGAUUUACAUUUUACAGUAAAUCAAAAGAAAAAUAUCUCUUAUCAUUGUUACUGAACUUUAUCUUUUUGUAAGAUUAUUAGGCAAUUAUAUAGAAUUGGAAAGAGAAUAUAAAGAGAAAAGGACGCUGAUGUAUGCUCAUUUUCAAUAUAUUUUUUCUCCAUAUCCGAUGCAUCUGAUAUCCAAUGAUGUGUUUAAUGAUAGCAAAGAUUAAUUGACUUUCCAAUCUACAGUUCACUGAUUUAUUACCAACAUCUAUGGAGUUUUUGUUUUUAUCAUUACAGGCACAGCCGCAGAUCAAGAUGACAAAAUUAGUCAACUGUUCAUUAAGACGAGAACUUACAAGCAAAAUAUAUGAAGCCUGUUCCCUAGAUAAGGAAGUUUGUGAUGUUAUUUGUGCUGAAGGAAGGAGGAUUUUAUAUCACUUUCUGCAGAUCUGUUAGUGCAAAUUUUCAGUUUGGGGUAUAAAGAGCAGUCUACGAUCAUUACAAGAGCCCCCAGCCCAAUAUGCCCUUCCUCUGGUUAGGGCAAGUGUGAAUGCGAUUGCUUGGACUUCUAUAAUGGGGUCCCAACCAUGCUUGUGCAGAGUUUUGGAGAGGCAUAUGACAAGUUUAACUGCCAUUGCUCGGACUCCACAGAGCAUUAGGCACAUUUGCUUGCUUGGUUUGAUGCUCAGGCCCUCAUUUGGAGCUUUCCUAUGAUGACUGGUUGUGGAAAUCAUAUCCAGUAAUGUUCUGGUGGUGAAAUCGAACAUCUGGGAUGACCGGGCUGCUCAACCUAGUUGAAGGGCAUUGCAGCCUCUGAAAGUUUGAGAUGAUAUAAUGUUUCUAGCAUAUUAGCUGGUAGAUCCUUGCUUGAUCUAGGUGAACUUGCAUUCAUUCAUCUUGGCUAAGUGCAGUACUUAUAUGUGUUGCUCACUCAAGUCCUUGUGAUGCUUGCAUGUGGUUAUAUUAUUUACAUGCCAAAGUAGCAUCCUCUGUAUAUUUGAAGAGAUGAUUGUAUACAAAUUAGUGAAGCCUGCUGUGGAACUCAAGAAAGUGAAUACUCAACUGUUCCUUCCAACCAACCAUGGGGCAGAAUUCUGAUGGCAAGACUUCAGUGAAGGUUUGCUUUACAGCUUUGGUAGGUGAAGCACUGCUUUCAGUUAGUUAGUAGCUGCUUUCUCAGCUUCAUUUAGCUACUGUUGUAGAGGGGAUUUGAUCCAUGCAGACAAAAAAUUCCCUGCAUCUUUUGUUUUUCUAUUAGGAGAUCCUGCUGAUACUGCAAUUUGAUGCAAUAUCCUCAGGUAGGUUUCAUGCAUGAAGAAUUAAAAUCUCUGUUUCAGUUAACAAAAGAAACCAUUUCAAAGAUUGCCUUCAGGAAUUUCAAUAUAUUCUCAAUUUUUUUCUCUGUUC